CCCAACAGGAAAUCAGACUAGCACAUCUGGUGCUUCAGCUUCAAGUACAGAUGGGAUAAUACCCAAAUAGAAAGCUCCACUGUGGCAAUAAUGCUGCUCCUGUAUGCUGCAGCUGCAUGUGUACUGUCUGAUCCCAGGAGGAGGAAGCGAGCUACAGUGCUCAGGAACGUCCCUCGGGUGGCAACGGGGUUAUACAGCAGACUGACAAACAGUGUGGCGGCAUCACCUCUUUUUACCUCCAAGACACCAUUAUUGCUGCAGAGUUUGACCGAUUGCUCUGAAAGGCCAGUUAUCGCAUUGAGAUGGCCGUUCAGAGAAGAAGAAAGUGUUGGUGUGUGCAUCCGGCUUCAGUCUCUCCCCAGGCUGAUCUGUCUGUCUGCCUCCUGCAACAAAAGCUGACAGUCAAACUGUUUGAUGCUGCCUCCUGGAUGAAAAGCCUCUGUAAUUGGCUGCCAUUACGAACUGUAUGCCAUCCUCGACACUGGCAGCCGAAAGAAAGAAAAACACAUGUUCCCUCGUCCGAUUUUCUUUAAAAAUCAUGUAUCUGCCAAAGAGCAAAAGAAUGAGUUCAUUGUUGUUUAAAUGGGAACUAUGUUUCUCAUGCGGUGUUCAAUUUCUCCUCUGUGAUGUUCAAAUGCAAAAAUCCCUGCUAGAGUCUAAUUACUUGAAUAUAGAUCUGCCGCUCUGUUUUCAUUUGCACUCAAUUGUUCAGUAAAAAUGUCUUCUUCUGAAAUCUUCAAAAACCCCUUUUUGUUUCUUUUUUUUUAUGUUGACGAUUCAUGUACUUUAAGGUCCAUGAUGUUAGGCAUUAUUGCUCAAGUAUUAAGCAUGUUUAAUUCCCUCUAUUGGAUAAAAUACAAUGUGUGACUAAUAAGUGUGGAGAAUCCAGUUUAAGCAGUGACAAACUGAAGCACUAUACUACACACACACACACACACACACACUUAAACACUUAAACACACAGUCCUCUGGUGCUCUGCGCUGCUUUUUCUGUAGGUUUUGGGGUGCUUGAAUCUAGCAGAUCUAAACCAUGAUGUAAAUCACAAGGCUGGCUUUGACAGAAUAAGGGUUUUUGUUCUGUUUCUCCAAUCGACUCCACAUUUGACACCUCGUGCUUGCCAGUGCAUCUCUCCGCAGACAACACCUGCCAGCUCCUCCUGCCAGCUCCUCCUGCCAGCUCCACGCUGAUGUGUGGCAUUCCUAACUCGAUCACGAUUGUGAAGAUAACACCUGCAAUCUGCAAAAAAGUUGAGGAAGCUGCCAGGCUCCUCCCAUGAUGAGACUUGUUUCUCUCUCUCUCUUUGUCUUUCUCCCUCUACUCCCGUGUCUCACCUCUCGUCAUCAUCAGGUGUGUGUGUGUGCAAAGACAAUGAAAACAACUGUGUGACCCUCUUUAGAGGAUACGAGGAGCAGAAACCAUCUCGUGUACACCCUUACAUGCGUCCUCUGCUCCACAUUAGACAAAGACCAUCAAGCCUUGAGACUGAUAAAGUUGCAAAGACAAGUGGAUGUAGGUGUACGUACAGUGUAUGCUGCAGUGCAAUGCCAAGAACAUACAUUAGUGAGAAGAGGCUACACUGUGGAGGAACAUCUGGUCCCUCGUGGCCAAUUCGUGUCUACUUGAGCACGCUGCGUAUCCAAUGUCCCCUUCCUCUCUCUCUCUCUCUCUCUCUCUCUCUCUCUCUCUCUCUCGGCAGAAGGCUGUCUGAGUGACAGUAGUUUGCUGCACGUUGGUCUGUUCUCUCUUCCCA